AAGUCGUAACAAGGUUUCCGUAGGUGAACCUGCGGAAGGAUCAUUGUAGAGUCCCACUUUGAAAGAUUGAGAACUUGUACCUAUACCCAUCGAGAACAAGGCAGUAAUGCUAUAAAUACUGUAUUGUUUAGAAGGGUUUCCCUUUGCUACCUUCUUCUUGCUUCACUUGAAGCAAGAAGGAGAGUAGAAAUAAGAUAUCGGCACGGCUUGUGCCAAGGACAGCUGUUGUUGGAGUGCACUGUCGUCUUUAUUGAUGUGCAGUGUGCAUUUUUACAAGCGUGAGCGUCUGAAUGACUCCUGGCAAUGGAUAUCUUGGCUCUCGUGUCGAUGAAGAACGUAGCGAAAUGCGACACUUGGUGUGAAUUGCAGAAUCCCGUGAAUCAUCGAGUCUUUGAAUGCAAGUUGCGCUCGAGGCCAUUAGGUCGAGAGCACGUCUGCUUGGGCGUCAUGCCACACGUCAUUCUAAACAUCCAUCUAUCCUAAAAUAUAGGCUUGGUAGUAAUGGAUAUGGAGAUUGACCUUCCGUGCUUUUGAGGUGCGGUUGGUUUAAGUGAUGGUUGUUGCUAGGUUUGCACGUGGAGAAUGGUGUAUCGAGGUAACACGCGAUCUCUAACUGCGUACAAGAGUCCUAGCAACGAUUUACAGUAAUAGAAACCAAUGUCGUUGUUUGCACUAUUUGCAAGAAUGGACCAUGACCUCAGAUCAUACGGGGCCACCCGCUGAGUUUAA
rnacentral:rRNA from 1 species